UUUCCGUAGGUGAACCUGCGGAAGGAUCACUAAAGAGAACUUGCCCUUCGGGGUAGCUCUCCCUCCCUUUGUUUAUUAUACUUUGUCGCUUUGGCGCUCCUGCCUCUUGGCUGCCGGCGUAAGCUGGCUCGCGCCCGCCAGAGACCCCUAAACUCUCAAUAUUUCCGUCUGUGUAAAAUAUAUAUUAAGUUAAAACUUUCAACAACGGAUCUCUUGGCUUUG
rnacentral:misc_RNA from 1 species